GGCAGUGUGGCUCAGUGGAAAAAGCACGGGCUUGGGAGUCAGAGGAUAUGGGUUCUAAUCCCCGCUCUGCCA
rnacentral:tRNA from 1 species